ACGAACGCUGGCGGCGUGCUUAACACAUGCAAGUCGAACGGUGAAGCGCCUUCCUUUUUGGUGGGUGUGGAUGAGUGGCGAACGGGUGAGUAACACGUGAGUAACCUGCCCCCUUCUUCUGGAUAACCGCAUGAAAGUGUGGCUAAUACGGGAUAUUCUGGGUCUGUCGCAUGAUGGGUCUGGGAAAGAUAUUGUUUCGGUGGGGGAUGGGCUCGCGGCCUAUCAGCUUGUUGGUGGGGUGAUGGCCUACCAAGGCGGUGACGGGUAGCCGGCCUGAGAGGGUGGACGGUCACACUGGGACUGAGACACGACCCAGACUCCUACGGGAGGCAGCAGUGGGGAAUAGUGCACAAUGGGCGCAAGCCUGAUGCAGCGACGCCGCGUGAGGGAUGGAGGCCUUCGGGUUGUGAACCUCUUUCGCCAGUGAAGCAGGCCUGCCUCGUUUGUGGGUGGGUUGACGGUAGCUGGAUAAGAAGCGCCGGCUAACUACGUG
rnacentral:rRNA from 1 species